rnacentral:ncRNA from 2 species
GACAUCUUGUCGGAGUGCCAUUAUGGCUGAGACCGUUUAUUCGGGAUCCGUUGAACCUGAUCAGGCUAGAACCUGCGAAGGAAACAAGCGUAAUAAUCAU